GCAUCCCUGUUGAAACUGGGAAGACUACAUAAAGGAGUAAAGCAGAACAGAUCUAGCCUGGCUCGAACAUGGGAGUGAUUUGUUGUCUCACUGCAGCUACCUUUGUGACCUGACAUUAAUGAAGAGGAUGAGUCGGGAGCAGAGCUUGCAGGGCAGGCGCAAACGGAAUGAGGUGUCCUUUGUCUUGAUGCUACACUGAGAUUAGGUAGCGGCUCUCUGAAAAUGAAAGGGCAUGGCUCAAAUUUUCUUGGGCAAAGUACAUCACACAGAUGGAACGUACCAUAAGACCGCUUCCUUAUGCUGGGCCAAACAUAUUUUAACUGGCAAGAUCAUCUAGCGCAAUGAGUAAAAGGAAGGCAAUGACUAUACUCAGAUCCAGAGAUUUUCCAUUCCUGAAAGGUACCAAGAAAUCCACUGAAUGUUGCUAAGCAAGGAAUUGGAGCAGAGAACAGGACCUGCAUCUUUGAGAACUCCUCAAAAUCUUUCAGGAUUACAUGGAUACAGACAUCGUACUGAGGUCUGUGUUUUCCUUCUAAAGUAUUUACUUUUAGAGUAAAUAUGCCCUGCUCUGAAACAACGUGAAACAUUAGUUCAUAACAGAAAAAUUAUUACACCAUUUUCAAAUAACAGCGACAAACUUAAUCCUGCAAAACUCCAUUACAGACAGGUAAGGAAUAAACGGGCAAUUAAACACCAUGAAAACAAGAAAAUAAACUCCUGACAAAAGAUUUUUCAAUCUUAAAUGCACCAUGAUUUUUAAUAAAAAGUGCUAUGUCACUAUUAUUUAUCCUCAUAUUACACCUGCUCUUUGCUUAUACUAAUUCAGUUUAGCAUGCAAAAGCACUCCUUGCCUCUGUGUACAUUAAAAGAUCUCCUGUUUAGAUUAACAGAAGAAACUCGUACCGAAGAGCAAAAAACUUCAGAAUACACUAUUAUUUUCUCAAGCUCAUCUCUCCCAUUCAUCUAACUUGUACUCUUUUCAUUUAAUCUAUUCAGGUAAAAAUAACGAUUAAAUAUCACACAAGUAUCACUUAAAUUCUAUUUUGGGGAUUUAUGACUAGGAUUAGCUUUGUGUCAGCUUUGUGUCACCUCUCAGUACAGGGUUGAAUGACAGAAAUUCAUUUAACCACAGUUUGAAUCCCAUUUCUUCCCUACUUCUGGAUUCACAUACAUUUUUCUUUCUAACAUAUAUUGAUCUCAGAAACCCAAAGUCACUUUUUAACACUUUAUUAAACACAAUAUAUACAAGGUAAUAUAUUGAAAGUAUUAUAAUGAGGCCAAUGGUAAUAUAAUAAUGAUAGUCAAAGCUCUAUCAAAUAUGUAAUUAAUAUUUUAAUUAUAUAUCUCAUAUCUGUGCCCCACUGUGAAAAAUAACCAGGUCUAGUAAUUUUCAUGGACGAUGACAAGAUUACUAUUACUAAUGGUCUGAGGUACAAGUGUUUAUUUUUAACAUUAUUAACGGUACUAAUUAUGAUGAAUAUGAUUAUUUAGAAUCAUUAUGUGGUAGAAGAGUUUGAUGAUCCACUCAGGUGCCUAGAAUUUAACAUUCUCCAUCCACCAUCUAUGGAAAUUAAUGACAUAGCUUAACUCUAUUGUUAUAAUACUCACUGCCAUGAAAAUUGCUUUUAAAGAAGAAAAAAGCAAAAGAGAUCACCCAAGUGUACUGUCCAAUUCUUUAUUAUCACACAAACAUUCACAUUUGCACAUCAGUAAGAAAGCCUGACAGUAAGAUGUUACACACUGGAAAAAAUGAGACAGUGACUUUUACAGACAGAGGGACAGGUCUCACAAGCACUUCUUCACACAGAAGUAUUAUUUUCAUUAUUGUAGGACUUAGAAUCAGAGCCCUUGAGCUAGGUACUAGGUAUAUACAGGUAUCCCAAAAAAGCUUACACAAACAUGACAGACAAAGGAAUAUUUUGUAACACCCAUUUUGCACAUGGGCAGCUUACACCACAAAAAUCUAAAGGGCCUGAGACCAUAUAGUUGGUACUGCCCAGAGCAUCUUUGGGCAUAUCCAUGAGCAGGGCAUGCUUUACCUCUCUUCAGUAGGUCCACCUAAGUGUCUUCACAGGUAAUUUAUACGUGGUGAUAUGACUGAUGUAUUUGGGCAGACAAGGUGCCAUGUGAGCUCAAAGACAUGCUGCAACUGUGCUUGUAGACUCGCAAGUAGGGAAACCUUAUUUGGUGGGCAACCUUGGGCUUCUUGUUGGCAGAAAGCGCUGAGAGAGACACAAAGGCUGCAGGUAGGGACAGGCACAGAACACACAUUUCCUAAAACCAGAGCCACAGCCUCAGCACAAGGCCACCACAACAUUCGCUUUCACUAGAAUCAAUAUGCUAUCCACAUAUCCACGGCAUGGCCUCGUAGGUCUCAACCAAAUACUGUCUCAAUGAGGAAAACAUAUGUAUAAUUUUGCCAUCGAUUUUGAAGCGAGUUGAUGCUUAACCCUUUGCAAGGCUUUCAGACCUGCAAAACAGCUCCUACAGAUCCCAUGGAUUGCUUACGCUUUAACUGCCCAUUGACUAUAAACAAUUGUCACCUCUGCAGAGAGAUUCCUCGUGGCAUGCAGAAGAGAGAGGGCAGAAUCAUUAACUAGUUAAAUCUGAUAAAUACAGACUCUCAGAAAAGGAAGGAACAAAAUGGACCAUUCUCACUUUGUAAUGCAUUUCCAUCAGUGACUGUCACACUAUUAGGAUCGGGAUCAAAGGGGGUGGGAUGCUGGUGUCUUUGGAUUUGGGCCUUUCACGUUGUCUGAUUGAUGGAACUGAAAGGCUUCUGCUUGUAAAGCAUUCACCCUAGCCAGCUGUCUCUUGCUCCUGUCCUCCUCUCCAUUGCAGCAUAUGCAGUUCAGAUUUCAUUUAUCAGCCCCUUUGAAUAGCAACACUCUUACACUGGAAGUAAAGCCUUGCAUUAAAGAGGAUGCUUAGCAAUUUGCAUGCAUGCACUGUAUUGCUAAGCAUUGUAUGGUGUUAGUUGCCAAAGGACAUGCAGUAAUGUGUACCUCCUAUCUCCCCCACUUUUCUGGUUUCUUAAAUUAUCAGUGUUUUACUUCCCUUUCAUGUUCAAAGCAUAGCAAAUUUAUUUGAUAUAUUCUGAAUGCUGAAGCAUGCCAAUGACAUCAAUCAAACUACAGAACACUGGGAAAGCUGCUAUAGAGUAAUCAGAAUUGGCCAUAAGCUAUAAAUAUCUACUGUCUCAUGAUUCUCUUGGCUGCCACGCAAACUUUGAUCAUUAGCACUGAUCAAAGAUCAUGAGGGAUAAAAUGGUAUUGUGAUAUAAUGGCAUGUAUGCUACAGCUGAUACUAAGGGCUAUAGAUGACCUAUGCUUGACUAUAUCGUCUUUCUCUAAACACAAGAAACAUUCAUUAAAAUGGUAGACUUCUUUUUUACUGUACCUUGGAGGAUAUAUACAGAAAACUGCACUACAAUCAAAAUUGGCAUAACUAUUUAUGACCAGCCUGAGUGUUCUGUAUUUGUAUUCUCUGCAACAUACCUCCUUAUAACACCGCACAGGUGACUCAGACAACAUCUAAUUAUGCCUGAGAGGUCACAAAACACAACUAAUGACUUUUUAUUGUUUUCUUGCUUUUAUAUGGAUUGGAUAUUUCCUCUCUAAUAGCAGAAUAUACCAAGCACUUCACAGGUAGAUCUUGCAUAGUAAAUUUGCGCAAGUUUGGCUUCGCAUUUUAAUUUAACCAUUAUUCGUAUGAGGAUAGUGUCUUUGUAAACAUAGCUUUUAUUUAUUUGUAAGACACACUCUACACCCAAAUUAAAAUAUAGAAUAUGGGCUUACCUCCCUUGCCUGCCAGUACAGUUCUCUGUUCCAUACUCUGGAUUAAAUUUUUAAAUACCUUACCAGAGCUCCAAAGCUUUCAGAUAAACCAAAUACCCAACCUCACAGCUGUCAAAUAAAAUGGUAUAGAAUUCCUUUGUACAAAAUAAAUUAAAUGAAUACAGCCUUACUCAUUAACUUGUGAGUAAUUUUGCUAGCAAAUCCACCCAGAAAAAAGAACUGUAACUGUUUAAAGUUGUCUUAAUCUUCUACUUCUUCAUGGAAAAU